rnacentral:rRNA from 1 species
CGUGGGGGUGGAGAUUCGGCAGGCCAGUAUCUCUCUGGGUAGACCUUGGAGUCGGGUUGUUUGUGAAUGCAGCCCAAAGUGGGUGGUAAACUCCAUCCAAGGCUAAAUACAAGCACGAGUCCGAUAGCGAACAAGUACCGUGAGGGAAAGUUGAAAAGUACUUUGAAGAGAGAGUAAACAGUGCGUGAAACCGCUCAGAGGUAAACGGGUGGAGUUGAACUGCAAGCUCUGUGGAUUCAGCUGGUGAGUAUGGUUUGGGCUUGGCCAAAUAGGUUGAGCUGCGGGGUCUGCUUAUUCGCAGGUCUUUGUCUUCGGGCAGGGAUGCACGAUGCACCUACCAUGUGCUGUGCGCCUCGUGGUUUCGAAUCUGCUCGCUAGUGCACUUUCGCAGGGUGUUCACCACGACCGGCAUUGCUGUCUGGCUAUUGUGGUUAAACCGGUCUUGCAUUGUCCUUGUGGCUUUGCUUGGUCGGGACGGCAGGUAGCUCGUUGGUUGUUCGUAGCUUGCUGCGUUCGGCCUCGGGUGUAAUCAGCUGACUUCAAUGGUUCUGUGCAGUAUGUCGGAGACGGCGGCUUGUUGUGUGUGCGUGCGUGCCGGUCUCAUGGGCGUGCUCGGGUAUGACUGUCAUGUUGCUUGCGUAAGCAGGCCUGGUGGUUGCUCGGGUUUGUUCUGUGGGUGGUUGCGUGCGUGGCACUAUACAGGGCCAAUAGUCUGUGGUGUAGUGGUAGACGAUCCACCCGACCCGUCUUGAAACACGGACCAAGGAGAGUAACAUGUGCGCGAGUCAUUGGGCGUAACGAAACCCAAAGGCGCAGUGAAAGUAAAGGCUUGGCUUUGUCCUUGCUGAGGUGAGAUCUCGCCGUUUCUCAUGCGCGGUACUACCAAGCAUCGAGCGGUGGGCGCAUCACCGGCCCGUCUCAUGACGUAGACACAUAGUCUUCGGACCAGUGCACCGUCGGGGCGGAGCAUGAGCGUACAUGUUGAGACCCGAAAGAUGGUGAACUAUGCUUGCGCAGGUUGAAGCCAGAGGAAACUCUGGUGGAGGACCGCAGCGAUUCUGACGUGCAAAUCGAUCGUCAAACGUGAGUAUAGGGGCGAAAGACUA